rfam:Escherichia coli str. K-12 substr. MG1655, complete genome.
AAAUUGAAGAGUUUGAUCAUGGCUCAGAUUGAACGCUGGCGGCAGGCCUAACACAUGCAAGUCGAACGGUAACAGGAAACAGCUUGCUGUUUCGCUGACGAGUGGCGGACGGGUGAGUAAUGUCUGGGAAACUGCCUGAUGGAGGGGGAUAACUACUGGAAACGGUAGCUAAUACCGCAUAACGUCGCAAGACCAAAGAGGGGGACCUUCGGGCCUCUUGCCAUCAGAUGUGCCCAGAUGGGAUUAGCUAGUAGGUGGGGUAACGGCUCACCUAGGCGACGAUCCCUAGCUGGUCUGAGAGGAUGACCAGCCACACUGGAACUGAGACACGGUCCAGACUCCUACGGGAGGCAGCAGUGGGGAAUAUUGCACAAUGGGCGCAAGCCUGAUGCAGCCAUGCCGCGUGUAUGAAGAAGGCCUUCGGGUUGUAAAGUACUUUCAGCGGGGAGGAAGGGAGUAAAGUUAAUACCUUUGCUCAUUGACGUUACCCGCAGAAGAAGCACCGGCUAACUCCGUGCCAGCAGCCGCGGUAAUACGGAGGGUGCAAGCGUUAAUCGGAAUUACUGGGCGUAAAGCGCACGCAGGCGGUUUGUUAAGUCAGAUGUGAAAUCCCCGGGCUCAACCUGGGAACUGCAUCUGAUACUGGCAAGCUUGAGUCUCGUAGAGGGGGGUAGAAUUCCAGGUGUAGCGGUGAAAUGCGUAGAGAUCUGGAGGAAUACCGGUGGCGAAGGCGGCCCCCUGGACGAAGACUGACGCUCAGGUGCGAAAGCGUGGGGAGCAAACAGGAUUAGAUACCCUGGUAGUCCACGCCGUAAACGAUGUCGACUUGGAGGUUGUGCCCUUGAGGCGUGGCUUCCGGAGCUAACGCGUUAAGUCGACCGCCUGGGGAGUACGGCCGCAAGGUUAAAACUCAAAUGAAUUGACGGGGGCCCGCACAAGCGGUGGAGCAUGUGGUUUAAUUCGAUGCAACGCGAAGAACCUUACCUGGUCUUGACAUCCACGGAAGUUUUCAGAGAUGAGAAUGUGCCUUCGGGAACCGUGAGACAGGUGCUGCAUGGCUGUCGUCAGCUCGUGUUGUGAAAUGUUGGGUUAAGUCCCGCAACGAGCGCAACCCUUAUCCUUUGUUGCCAGCGGUCCGGCCGGGAACUCAAAGGAGACUGCCAGUGAUAAACUGGAGGAAGGUGGGGAUGACGUCAAGUCAUCAUGGCCCUUACGACCAGGGCUACACACGUGCUACAAUGGCGCAUACAAAGAGAAGCGACCUCGCGAGAGCAAGCGGACCUCAUAAAGUGCGUCGUAGUCCGGAUUGGAGUCUGCAACUCGACUCCAUGAAGUCGGAAUCGCUAGUAAUCGUGGAUCAGAAUGCCACGGUGAAUACGUUCCCGGGCCUUGUACACACCGCCCGUCACACCAUGGGAGUGGGUUGCAAAAGAAGUAGGUAGCUUAACCUUCGGGAGGGCGCUUACCACUUUGUGAUUCAUGACUGGGGUGAAGUCGUAACAAGGUAACCGUAGGGGAACCUGCGGUUGGAUCACCUCCUUA